UACGGAGGGUGCAAGCGUUAUCCGGAUUCACUGGGUUUAAAGGGUGCGUAGGUGGUCUUGUAAGUCAGUGGUGAAAGCCCGCAGCUUAACUGCGGAACUGCCAUUGAUACUGCUUGACUUGAAUUAGGUGGAGGUAGAUGGAAUGUAUCAUGUAGCGGUGAAAUGCUUAGAUAUGAUACAGAACACCGAUUGCGAAGGCAGUCUGCUACGCCUAUAUUGACACUGAGGCACGAAAGCGUGGGGAUCAAACAGG
rnacentral:rRNA from 1 species